CACCCCUGAUAAGGGUGAGGUCGGUGGUUCAAGUCCACUCAGGCCUACCA
rnacentral:tRNA from 1 species